UACAGAGGGUGCAAGCGUUAAUCGGAUUUACUGGGCGUAAAGGGUGCGUAGGUGGUUGUUUAAGUGAGAUGUGAAAUCCCCGGGCUUAACCUGGGAACUGCAUCUUAUACUGGGCAACUGGAGUGCGAUAGAGGGUAGUGGAAUUUCCGGUGUAGCGGUGAAAUGCGUAGAUAUCGGAAGGAACACCAGUGGCGAAGGCGGCUACCUGGAUCGACACUGACACUGAGGCACGAGAGCGUGGGGAGCAAAC
rnacentral:rRNA from 1 species